UUAGAGACGUGUUGUGGUGAGUCGUUCGGUGAGCGCCCUCAACGGCCGCAACCCUUGUCCUUAUUUGCCAGCGGGGUAAGCCGGGAACUUUAAGGAUACUGCCAGUGACAAACUGGAGGAAGGCGGGGACGACGUCAAGUCAUCAUGGCCCUUACGACCAGGGCUACACACGUGCUACAAUGGUCGGUACAAAGGGUCGCGAUCUCGCGA
rnacentral:ncRNA from 1 species